CUGCUCCAUGUGCUGCAGGACAGCUGGUCCCUUGGCAUGUGAAGCAGCUAAUGAACUUUUCCUCUGAAAAACCGUGGGGAUAGACAAUGCUGACUCCAAUCAGUGUUGUUUUACUUGCUGAACUGAUAUCAAAGGUGAAGGUUCUCUAAAGGAGCAUUGUGUGACAAUCAAACACACAGCAUGAACAACUGGAUGCUGACCGUAUUUUCAGUCAGUGAGCAUGCUGAGAACAGGGUUGGUCACAUCACACUGGCGACCUAUCUGGCCAUGGGUUUUGGAAUGAAUAUAUUAGAAGAAUAGACUAAGUGGUUCAGUCCUUAUUAACCGCUUGUGUGAAAUGAAAACUGAAAUAGACACAUGAAAGUAUAUCAGGUUCUUCAAGUACUUACUGAGAUAUAACACCUGCAUUUCCAAUAUUGUAACUACAACAAGGAGAGCUGUCUAGUUUGUGUGAGUGACUGCAGGGCUGUCAGGCUGAAAUAGAGUUGGGCAUCCUGAGAGAAGGAAAGCACAUUUUUCUGCCAACAAGUAAAUAGUAUUUUGAUACUUUUCAUCUACACCAAUAUGCUAUCUAAAAUAUCUUUUGUAAUUGUUUGCCUUGAAAUUCCAACUUAAUUACAUUUAGAUGCUCAUUUGAAGAGCUACUCAUCAGAACUUGUUAAAAGAAGCAAAACUAUCUGACUUUCCAAGGCCAUUCUGUAUUUUGUACUUACAUUAUCAAGGUGUUUUUCCUGAAGAAAGUGCUUUCCACUGAGAUGAAAACUCUUCAUUUUCUGCUUUCAGUAGGAUUUUAUGUUGAAAUUGAGGUGUCUUUUGAGUUUGAUAUUGUUUUAGUAUUGUAGUCCUGAGAGACAAAGCAGGCAUAGCUUUAACUGCCCAAAUGACAACUCUGUCUGGUGUUAAAAAACCUACACGUUUAUUUGGCAUUUGAAGAUGUCAUUAAAUAAAGGGACGGCUAAAUCUCCAGAUCCAUCCAGUCUUUCCAGGCAUAGGGAAGAUAAUCAUUUCCCCUACCAAAGGAGCAGUUGUUUUUCUUUGAGGCUGACUGUAGACCCAAAUAGAGCUAAAUCAGAAGCACAUGAUGACCAGGUAACACAAGGAGAAGCUAUUAUAGUCCAAGUUGAUGCCAUGCAGGUGUAUCAGAGAACACUAGAUGCCAGAUUUGGGUCAGAACUACAGAUCACAGAGAGGAAUAUAAUCCUAUGAGAUGGAUCACUUAGGCUUUAUUUUAUUAAAGGUAUAUGUCAAAUACAGCGUGUUUCUCAGAACAGAUAUUUUCUUCCUAAAUGUCAGUGGUAAGAAUUGUCAGUCAGUUGUUUCAUGGCUUGUUGCAAUAUUACAGUUUUUGAAGUUUUUCUUCCUGGGAGCCUCUUUCUCAGAGGCAAGUUCUUCUGUAUAGUCAACAGUACUUCACUGCACAGUUUUUCAGGUAGGAAAUGAAAUCCUUAAGAAACAAGCAGAGAACGCCAUUCAUCACCACUUUGCAUCGAAGUUAUUUCCAUAUCUGGAACUGAUGUGCUGCUGUGCCAGGAAAGUACUGUAUGAUUUCUUUCACAGCCAGUUAAAAAUUGUAAGACCUUGUAAAAAGGGAUUCAGUGCACCUGUAUGAGGCACUGGCUGCUUUGUCCUGAUUGCUUAGGGCUGCCAGCUGACUCAGGACUCCCAUAUACUGACAUGG
ensembl:lncRNA